AAAACACCCUCUCCCUGGCUCCCUCACUCCUUAUUUGAUUAUGACCCAGCUUGUUUUUGCCUUCAGAUCUCUCUCUUCUCCUCCAUAAAUACCUUCCUCUCACUUUCAGUACCAUUGCUUCAAUUUCUUCUUCUUCUUCUUCCCCCAUGUGCCUCCAGUGAAGAUAUUGGAGAUCAUCUGCAUCAUCCCAAAGCGUGCAGUACUCAAUGCAUUUCCAUUCAAAGCAUAACCAUGACAUGAAAUGCAUACAAUAUACAUAUACUUAUAUCAUGCACCAUGCAUAUGUUUAUGGCAUCAUCAUGGCAUCCGUGUAUAUAUGUGCCUGGCUCCCUGUAUGCCAUUUGCAGAGCCCACCGAGCAUCGAUGGUCUCCGUGGAUGGCGUAUGAGGAGCCAUGCAUAUAUUCCAUGUAUAUAUACUUGUCCAUGAAUAUUUUUCUUUUGCAGGGAUUUUCCCUUUUUUUUCUUUUUCUUUGGUUUCACAGGCUGAAAGGGUACCAAUGUAAUUUUCUUUCCAAGGAUGCGGCGGGGUUUUGAGGAACCGUGUGAGGGGGGGUCGGUUGUGGGACUCUUAUUUGGACCCCUUCGGACUGCAGGAUUCCAACCAUGCAGAGUUAAUAGCUAUCAAACAUGCACUGCAAAUGUUUGCUUCCUCUCCUUAUGUUGGCCUUAAAAUGAUUGUAGAGUUGCUUUGUCAUGUGUUCGUGAGCCACCAGGAAGGCCAUGAAUAGAAAAUUAUGAUGAUAUUAUUGGUAAUUGCUUACAAGUGAUUGAGAUUAUGACUCAGAGGAAGGCUGAUAAUACCUUUUGCUGAUUCAUUGACCAAGUUCGGUGGGGAAAGGGUGCUAUUUCGUACGGUUCUCUGCCUCAUUGGGCAUAUUGGACUUUGUUGCAUGGGGAGGAUAAUAUGGGCUACUUGUUCUUAUACCUUGUUUCUAGGUUGUCUGGGGUUUAACUAUCUGUGAGAUGCCAUGGGUUACUUUGUUAUCGUAGGAUUACAAUCCUGUUGGGUGUAUAGGGGUGCUGUAGAAUCUGGUGUUAUGAUAUGGCUACUUGUUAUGUUCCUUUGAAGUAAAAAACAUCCAUUAAAAUA